AAAUUCAAUACUUUUUUUGUAUUGAAUACCAAAAAAAUUCUUACUUUUUUUUCAUCUGUGACCUUUCAUUCAUAUAAGAAUAAAUAACAUAAUUAGAAGAAACUAAUUUGAAAUGAUGGCUUGUUUCUAACCAGAAAUUCUGAAUACAAAGGAAUCAAUGACAACCGCAACGAUCAGGGUGCCAAGCUUUUAAGAAUAUUUUAGGUUUGCAAAUAAUAACUAGUAUGCUUGCAAUUUCAACAAUAUAUUUUUAUUCUGAUAAAGUAUAUACUUUUCCAGAAGGCUUCCAGUGUGGUUGUCUCAUGCUGGAAGCCUGGGAUGCUGAAAUCAGGCCACUUCCUGUCUGUCUUUACAGGACACUGGGCUGCAUACUAAGAAAUUCCUGAAUCUCCCCUGGAUCCUGACCAUCACGUGCCCAGAGAAAUUUGUAACAUUGUUGUUUUGGAAUAUGUAAUGACACACACCUUUCACUUUCCUGAUAUGGGUGAAGUGUGGAGCCCAGUGAUGAUUUCUUCUUCAAGAAAUGUACAUCCUAGCUCCCACAUGAGGGUGAGCCCCCUGUCCAACGAUGAGAGACCCAGCAUGUGUGUGACCUGUGCCUCCUGGGAGACCAGCCGUAAACUCGUCUGAACCUGACCAAGUUCUGUCUACAUGGUAGAUUUAGACCUCUCUAAAUCUUGUCUACACUGAUUAUGUUUCUGAGACCGUGUGCUUUCGGCAGUGAGGACAUUUAGGCCUGACCUUGUACUCUGUGCACUGGGACAUGGGGACUCGGGUGGAGGCCUGGCCUGGCCUCUGUCUGGGAAACUCUGUGCCUGCGUCUGAGCGUCAGCGCUCAGAUGUCUGGGGUCUGGGGCUGAGGUGGGCUUCUCUGGGAACCGUGCUCUCCUCUGAGUGGGCUUCCCUGGCCCUCCUGGGGGUCAGUGCUGCGGUCGGGCUCCUAGUCUGUCCCCUGCCAGGUUCAUCUCCCUGGGGCUCCUGGAGACCCCUCAGGUGGGCUACCUGGUAAUCAUUCCAAUUUUCCAGCACAUUCAGGUUGAGUAGGGAAGCUGGUUCACCUGGUGAAUUGAUUCCAGGGCACAGGAAUCAGGCAAAAAGUCAAUGAGCAGCAGGUGAGGUUGCUGCUGUGCUCUCCUUCCAGUUGGCUCUCUCCUUUGAAGAGAACAAAGCUGCUCCUCGUCUUUCAGCCCAGCUCUCCUGUGUUUUCUCAGCAACUCAGUGGGACAAGAAAGACAGAGCCUGCCAGAACCAAGGACAAGCGUUGCGGCAAGGGAGGCAGAUUCACCUGGUGAAUUGAUUCCAGGGCACAUGGAUCAGACAAAUGGCCAAUGGACAGCAGGUGAAGUUGCUGCUGUGAUCUCCUUCCAGUCAACCGUCCCGCCUCAGCAGAGACCAGACCUGGCCCUCGUCUCCCAGCCCUCUGGCGUGUUUUUUCAACACCUCAGUGGAACAAGAAAGGACUGAGCCUGCCAGAACUAAGGACACUGGGCUGCACUCCGAGAAGUUCCUGGAUCUCCCCUGGAUCUGACCAUUAUAUGGCCAGAGAAAUUGCACCGCAGCGGGACAAGAAAGACAGAGCCUGCCAGAACCAAGUCGACCAUCCCUCCUCAACAGAGACCAGACCUGGCCCUCGUCUCCCAGCCCUGCGCCUGGUGUGUGUUUUGUCAACACUUCAGUGGAACAAGAAAGGACCAAGCCUGCAAGAACCAAGGUAGUGUGUUCAACAUUAUCACAACAGCUCUAAAAACAGUAACUGUCACACAGAACGAAAGGGAGAAGAGGAGGACUUCUCUGGGAAAGUCUGACUGACCAUACACUUCUUUCUACCAUCACAGAAGUUUACAGAAACUCACUCAUUUCACUUUAGGGGCCCAACCAGCAGUGACAUGGGUCCUAACCAAAGGUCGUGCAACCCCAGGUACGGGGUCUGGGGAUUGUGUGGGUCUCACCCCAUCCACGUCAGGAUCCUGUACCUGGAAACACCAUAUAUGUUCUUUACCUGCAGUGUGUUUUGUCCCCUCGGAGAUUCCCAACGUCUGAAUUGAGGGUGUUGACCUGAUUAACCUGUGGUCCUUUUUCUUCUCUUCACCUUGUCGCAUUCACAUGAGGUCAGGCACCUUUGAGUGGAUUGCUGCUCUGUGUUUUGCUGAGUGAAAAUCUUUGGUGGUGUCAUAUUAAUAUCAUAGCAUAUCCCUUAUCUAAUCAUAGGGGUCACCACCGCCUGAGUCCCCUACACUGAGCUCAGAUAAUUUAAUUUGUAAUUUAAUUGUUAUUUUAUAUUGGAGCACAGUUGAUUUCUGUUGUUUUGUUU